ensembl:lncRNA
CACUGUGUUAAGGUGCCAUGCAUGUGUUGUGUAAUAUUACAAAUGGUGCACCUUUUAUCAUUAAAUAAAUUAAAGCAGACCAGCAGCACUUAAGCCUUUAAAGCUACGCGAUUAUAAUAGGUGGGUUUGAAGGGCAGGGUGGGCCUGCAUUUUAACAGGUUAAGCCCAGUGUUUAGUUCUGUUUUACCAGUAUUUAUAGGCCUUAACACGCUCACUCAUAAAUCCUCCGACAAGCAUAGAUAAUGUGCAGGGAAUUGUGGAGCAGAGCUGGAGAAGUGGUGCUUUUGUCCCCUCAAGAUGACUGCAACUCCACCUGUACUGUGUUUUUCAGUCAUACUUCGGCCUUUUUUAAAGAACCCCACAACCGUUAGCUGUAGUUAUAACAGCCUUUUUCCAUUUCAGGAUUUUACAAUAACACAUUUAAAACAUUUUUGUCUUUUUAUUAUACAGUAUGUUAUGCCAUGUGCGUUUGAUAAAAAUGCCCAUUUAGUGAAAUGGUUACUGUAUGAAAUCCACUUAGCAUCUGUUCAUGGAUUUGGUAUGUUUUGCUCAAAAAAUAUGUAUUUUCUGUGCAUUGUCUAGCUUUGCUUGAACCCAUUUUAUUGGCGUUAUGCGUUCUAUACCCACUUACCUCAUCCUUUAAAGAUGCAUAGAUAUUUUUAUUUAUUUAUCUUCAUCUUUUAAUGCAAGCAAAAUUAUAGGUUAUCGUUGGUAGGUAUAUGAUACAAGGACCAGUGUGUAUAUUGUGUACAAUAAAAGAUAACAUGAAAUCAAUAUCAUGUUAUUAUUUUCCACAUGUUUUUCUCUCCAACAGUGUCCUUUUGUGAAUUUAUGUUAAUCGGGUUUUAUAUAAUUUAUAAAAAUGCCAGUUCAGCUUUGAUUCAAAUGUAGAAUUGUAAAGAAAAAUCAAGACGAAAGACCUGUGACUCUGUACUUCAAAUACAGCUGUUUUGAAAUGACUUUUGGAAAUUUUAUCUGCUGUAUUCAUUGUACCUUUUUUUACAAAAAGAAAACCCAAU